CCGGGGCUAAUACCGGAUAACAUUUUGAACCGCAUGGUUCGAAAUUGAAAGGCGGCUUCGGCUGUCACUUAUGGAUGGACCCGCGUCGCAUUAGCUAGUUGGUGAGGUAACGGCUCACCAAGGCAACGAUGCGUAGCCGACCUGAGAGGGUGAUCGGCCACACUGGGACUGAGACACGGCCCAGACUCCUACGGGAGGCAGCAGUAGGGAAUCUUCCGCAAUGGACGAAAGUCUGACGGAGCAACGCCGCGUGAGUGAUGAAGGCUUUCGGGUCGUAAAACUCUGUUGUUAGGGAAGAACAAGUGCUAGUUGAAUAAGCUGGCACCUUGACGGUACCUAACCAGAAAGCCACGGCUAACUACGUGCCAGCAGCCGCGGUAAUACGUAGGUGGCAAGCGUUAUCCGGAAUUAUUGGGCGUAAAGCGCGCGCAGGUGGUUUCUUAAGUCUGAUGUGAAAGCCCACGGCUCAACCGUGGAGGGUCAUUGGAAACUGGGAGACUUGAGUGCAAAAGAGGAAAGUGGAAUUCCAUGUGUAGCGGUGAAAUGCGUAGAGAUAUGGAGGAACACCAGUGGCGAAAGCGACUUUCUGGUCUGUAACUGACACUGAG
rnacentral:rRNA from 1 species